ensembl:lncRNA
AAACACGGCGAGUGGAGUUUAGACCAAAAAGGUCUAUUUUUGUCUCAUCAGACCACAUGACCUUCUCCCAUUCCUCCUCUGGAUCAUCCAGAUGGUCAUAGGCAAACUUCUGACGAGCCUGGACAUGCGCUGGCUUGAGCAGGGGGACCUUGCGUGUGCUGCAGGAUUUUAAUCCAUGACGGCGUAGUGUGUUACUAAUGGUUUUCUUUGAGACUGUGGUCCCAGCACUCUUCAGGUCAUUGACCAGGUCCUGCCGUGUAGUUCUGGGCUGAUCCCUCACCUUCUUCAUGAUCAUUGAUGCCCCACGAGGUGAGAUCUUGCAUGGAGCCCCAGACAGAGGGAGAUUUACGUAAUCUUGAACUUCUUCCAUUUUCUAAUAAUUGCGCCAACAGUUGUUGCCUUCUCACCAAGCUGCUUGCCUAUUGUCCUGUAGCCCAGCCCAGCCUUGUGCAGAUCUACAAUUUCAUCCCUGAUGUCCUUACACAGCUCUCUGGUCUUGGCCAUUGUGGAGAGGUUGGAGUCUGUUUGAUUGAGUGUGUGGACAGGUGUCUUUUAUACAGAUGCUUGGCUGGUGUUUCAUCAUCAUUUCAGGCCUAAUUGGGCUCGUUGGGACCAGCUACACAAACUGUUUCUCACAAGUCAGCUAUCUGCAGCUCACCUUCAAGUAGCGCUACAUUGAAAAGGUGAAUGAGCAGUUCGAGACCUAUGUUCUGGAUUAUCCCUCCAAGCAGGCUGAAAGGAACCUCAAGAGCUUCAUGGAGAACAGUGAACCUGAGAAAUUCCAAACCAUAAGGCCUGGGAUAAGAUCUCUGAACUGUACACCUUCACUAAGAGUGAGCAUUACUACAGCACCCUGCACAGGUACGUGGAACGUGAUGGCCGAGACUACAGCCCUGAGGAAGGACAGUCAGGAUAGAGAAUACCAUAGAGAUGUUCUGAGAGUUGGGAGUUUAAAGACAAUUGUUUCCAGAGAAAAAAAUAUAUUGGCAUAUUUCAUGACCCUUUCCAUUGUUAUUGUAUAUUUUUUUGUCCAAUUUAUUUGACCUUCAAGCCAUGAACAAUAUAUGCAGUACUGUAAGUGUUUUUCUGUUUGCAUUUACCCCGAAA